GCGCAGCGGUGGUGGCGGCGGCGCGAUCGGCCGGGCUGUAACCGUCGUCUGUCCGGGAGCGGCUGGAGCGGCAGCGGCGGCCGGGCACGGCGCGAGGUGACUGAGGAGAGAGGCGCCUCCUCGCUCCCGCCACCGCCGGACUUCAAUGCCCAGUCCCCAGCUCGCCAGCGUUUUUCGUUGGAAUAUACGUUGCACAUUUAUGGCGAUUCUGAGUGUGAGGGCAGACUUCUGCCAGGCUCAGCACAGCAUUUUCGCUGACAAGUGAGCUUGGAGGUUCUAUGUGCCAUAAUUAACAUUGCCUUGAAGACUCCUGGACACCGAGACUGGCCUCAGAAAUAGUUGGCUUUUUUUUUUUUUUAAUUGCAAGCAUAUUUCUUUUAAUGACUCCAGUAAAAUUAAGCAUCAAGUAAACAAGUGGAAAGUGACCUACACUUUUAACUUGUCUCACUAGUGCCUAAAUGUAGUAAAGGCUGCUUAAGUUUUGUAUGUAGUUGGAUUUUUUGGAGUCCGAAGGUAUCCAUCUGCAGAAAUUGAGGCCCAAAUUGAAUUUGGAUUCAAGUGGAUUCUAA
rnacentral:sRNA from 1 species